UACGAAGGGGGCUAGCGUUGCUCGGAAUCACUGGGCGUAAAGCGCACGUAGGCGGAUUGUUAAGUCAGGGGUGAAAUCCUGGAGCUCAACUCCAGAACUGCCUUUGAUACUGGCGAUCUCGAGUCCGGGAGAGGUGAGUGGAACUGCGAGUGUAGAGGUGAAAUUCGUAGAUAUUCGCAAGAACACCAGUGGCGAAGGCGGCUCACUGGUCCGGUACUGACGCUGAGGCACGAAAGCGUGGGGAGCAAACAGG
rnacentral:rRNA from 1 species